UACGUAGGGGGCGAGCGUUGUCCGGAGUUACUGGGCGUAAAGGGCGUGCAGGCGGUGCAGUAAGUUUGGAGUGACAGUACCCGGCUCAACUGGGUAAGGCCUUCGAAAACUGCUGGACUUGAGGGCCAGAGAGGGACAUAGAAUUCCGGGUGGAGUGGUGAAAUGCGUAGAUAUCCGGAGGAAUACCAAAGGCGAAGGCAGUGUCCUGGCUGGCAACUGACGCUGAGGCGCGAAAGCUAGGGGAGCGAACAGG
rnacentral:rRNA from 1 species